AUUGAACGCUGGCGGCAGGCUUAACACAUGCAAGUCGAGCGGAGGCUUCGGUCUUAGCGGCGAACGGGUGAGUAAUACCUAGGAAUCUGCCUAUUAGUGGGGGAUAACGAAUCGAAAGGUUCGCUAAUACCGCAUACGUCCUACGGGAGAAAGGGGGGGAUCUUCGGACCUCUCGCUAAUAGAUGAGCCUAGGCCGGAUUAGCUAGUUGGUAGGGUAAAGGCCUACCAAGGCGACGAUCUGUAGCUGGUCUGAGAGGAUGGCCAGCCACACUGGAACUGAGACACGGUCCAGACUCCUACGGGAGGCAGCAGUGGGGAAUAUUGGACAAUGGGGGCAACCCUGAUCCAGCCAUGCCGCGUGUGUGAAGAAGGCCUC
rnacentral:rRNA from 1 species